AGGGACGAAGACCAGGAGGUAAUACCAGAUGACGAGACGAUGAAGUUUUACCGAAUUGGUCCCCCGGGGCCUUCAAUCUUGACAAAACCAGGAGCGCGAUCAAAAUGACGGGAAAUCUCACGAAAAGAGUCCUUCUCAAAGGACGUCUCAAAAGGGUCGUCGGAAUCAUUCGGUCGUCGAUUGCCCUUCAACGUCCCUCAGCCUGGAAGAACGCUCAGAAAGAAACAGUAAGCACAGCCGGUUCGAUUAUACGGUGGCAAAAUGCAGUGAAAAUUUUACGAGACCCAAUGCAACACGGAAUCCAGAUAAAAAGGUCAGCCUUCAUGUGGAAUGUAUCGGUGCUAUUAGUGAAAUGAAGUGUAAGAAAAGAAAGUCGCAACAUUUCCCAUUUAAUCUUUCUUUUUGUCUUCCUUAAGGUAUCGCGCUGUCGUAUAAAAAAAAACUAUCUGGCCACCUAAGCAAUUCUCGCGAUGUUCUCGAGCCUUGAGGAAUCCCGCAAGAUGGUGGAGGAGUUAAGUUGUUAAAGGGACAAUCGACAACCACUUCUAUGUGGCCCAAAGCCACAAGGAAGUCCCCACGGA